GUUUUUCGCUCGAAGAUGAGCCCGCGCGAGAUUAGCUAGUUGGUGAGGUAACGGCUCACCAAGGCUACGAUCUCUAACAGGUCUGGGAGGAUGAUCUGUCACACUGGAACUGAGACACGGUCCAGACUCCUACGGGAGGCAGCAGUAGGGAAUAUUGCGCAAUGGAGGAAACUCUGACGCAGCGACGCCGCGUGAGUGAUGAAGGCCUUCGGGUCGUAAAGCUCUGUCGCACAGGAAUAAGAAAGUG
rnacentral:rRNA from 1 species